CCGGCAUCGGUUUNUGAUCAAAUAUUUAUAGGAUAUGGAUGGGCUCGCGUGACAUUAGCUAGUUGGAGAGGUAACGGCUCACCAAGGCUACGAUGUCUAGGGGCUCUGAGAGGAGAAUCCCCCACACUGGUACUGAGACACGGACCAGACUCCUACGGGAGGCAGCAGUAAGGAAUAUUGGUCAAUGGAGGCAACUCUGAACCAGCCAUGCCGCGUGCAGGAUGACUGCCCUAUGGGUUGUAAACUGCUUUUGUCAGGGAAUAAACCUUUCUACGUGUAGAAAGCUGAAUGUACCUGAAGAAUAAGGAUCGGCUAACUCCGUGCCAGCAGCCGCGGUAAUACGGAGGAUCCAAGCGUUAUCCGGAUUUAUUGGGUUUAAAGGGUGCGUAGGCGGUCCUAUAAGUCAGUGGUGAAAGACGGCAGCUUAACUGUCGCAGUGCCUUUGAUACUGUAGGACUUGAAUCUAUUUGAAGUGGGCGGAAUAAGACAAGUAGCGGUGAAAUGCAUAGAUAUGUCUUAGAACUCCGAUUGCGAAGGCAGCUCACUAAGUUAGUAUUGACGCUGAUGCACGAAAGCGUGGGGAUCAAACAGGAUUAGAUACCCUGGUAGUCCACGCCCUAAACGAUGAUAACUCGAUGUUUGCGAUACACAGUAAGCGUCCAAGCGAAAGCGUUAAGUUAUCCACCUGGGGAGUACGGUCGCAAGAUUGAAACUCAAAGGAAUUGACGGGGGCCCGCACAAGCGGAGGAGCAUGUGGUUUAAUUCGAUGAUACGCGAGGAACCUUACCCGGGCUUGAAAGUUAGUGAAUGAUCCAGAGACGGAUCAGUCCUUCGGGACACGAAACUAGGUGCUGCAUGGCUGUCGUCAGCUCGUGCCGUGAGGUGUUGGGUUAAGUCCCGCAACGAGCGCAACCCCUAUGUUUAGUUGCCAGCACAUAAUGGUGGGGACUCUAAACAGACUGCCAGCGUAAGCUGUGAGGAAGGUGGGGACGACGUCAAGUCAUCAUGGCCCUUACGUCCGGGGCUACACACGUGCUACAAUGGACGGUACAGCGGGCAGCUACAUAGCAAUAUGAUGCUAAUCUCUAAAAGCCGUUCACAGUUCGGAUUGAGGUCUGCAACUCGACCUCAUGAAGUUGGAUUCGCUAGUAAUC
rnacentral:rRNA from 1 species